CGGGGUGCACCAGGCGCGAAAACUUUACAAUGCGGGAAACCGUGAUAGGGGAACUCUGAGUGCCCGUAAAAUCGGGCUGUCCAUCAGUUUAAAUAACUGGUGAAGAAAGGGCCGGGCAAGACCGGUGCCAGCCGCCGCGGUAAUACCGGCGGCUCGAGUGGUGGCCACUAUUACUGGGCUUAAAGCGUUCGUAGCUGGCUUGUUAAGUCUCUGGGGAAAUCUUCCGGCUCAACCGGAAGGCGUCUCAGGGAUACUGGUAGGCUAGGGACCGGGAGAGGUGAGAGGUACUUCAGGGGUAGGAGUGAAAUCCUGUAAUCCUUGGGGGACCACCUGUGGCGAAGGCGUCUCACCAGAACGGCUCCGACAGUGAGGGACGAAAGCUGGGGGAGCAAACCGGAUUAGAUACCCGGGUAGUCCCAGCUGUAAACGAUGCACGUUAGGUGUAUCGGUGACCACGAGUCACCGAGGUGCCGAAGAGAAAUCGUGAAACGUGCCGCCUGGGAAGUACGGUCGCAAGGCUGAAACUUAAAGGAAUUGGCGGGGGAGCACAAGGGCGAUUCGCG
rnacentral:rRNA from 1 species